CGAAGGCAUGCAGCUGAGUACAAUCCAGAAAACAACAGAGGAGGAGUGCAGGGCCAGAACAAGCAGAGUAGCAUGACCAAAGAACUACAGACUCUUCACAACCUGCUCAAACUCUUGGUACAGGACCUCACCACACGGGUCAAGAAGGUUUCCAUCUCAUUUCUACUCUGAAGCUCACCUUCUCCUGCUCAAACUGCUGACAAAUGUUUCUGCUGCUCUAAAGUCUGGUCUCCAGAACUUCCUAAAAACUCUCAAAUCUCUUCUGCUGCAGGUUGCUUUGUAGAACUGUUGCAGAAAACCUCACUAAACCACAUGGAGGGGCCUCAAGAUAGUCGUCCAAAUGAAACCAUACAAAAACCAAACUAGUACAACCCAAACGCUAAAGUCUCCUGCAGCCUACCAGAGAACCUCUGAGAACAGAGGAUCAGGACAGGAACUCUUACCUUCUGGACAACCACCGCUGGUUCACAAACAAGAAUACAGACUGUGUCUGACCAAAAACCUCUGAAGACUCACUACAGCCAAGAUAAAGACAACACAGCUGCACCAAAUCCGCUAAUCACUGCACACAUUAGCACCAUGUGCUAACUGUGGCUAAAGAACCUCAUUUACCAAGACAACGAUCCAGUACAAAGCCCUAAACCACACCAAGAAACACAGUAAAGACGAUUUUACUGCUGGAAGCUGCAAGCCAACGCCUAAAGAACAAACUAAAGCAAUGGAGCCAAACCCAGUUCACUGGUGAAGAGAAUCAGAGGAAAGGUUUGUCUACAGCUAAAUAAAGCAGGAAGACACUGAGCUGCUCAGGUGUUCCUGAUAAAACCAAGCAGCCACCUGGACAGCCAAUAGGAACACAGCUUCCUGGAAGUCCAGAGGGCUGGGUUAGUGAAGGAAAUUUAAUUUGAAGUUGAAGCAGAAAGUUAACAAAGAAAGUUGAAAACCACCUUCUGAUCCCUGAAAUCUCUGAGUUUUCACACAAAGAACACCUGAACAUGUCAAACUGGUUCCAUAGUAGAACCAUCAUUGUAAAAACGUCAUAGUAUGGUGUGUUGCUCAAAAAACAUUAGGACCCGGCUGUCAGGGGACAAACAUGUAAGAAACAUGAGAACAGAGAGAACCCAACCAGUAGGUCACAGUUUAUCAUCCCCCAGUCAUCUCCUGAAGUCCAUAUGGUGAGAGACAUCAGUAUCUGGUUGUUAAUUUACCAGAGGAUGCUUAUAAUCAUGAUGAUGUGGUCUGUACUCUACAGUAUUUUAGUGACUCAAUACAUGCCUAAGUUGUUUUUUUUAAAAUGCUUUUUAGUUUUUAAUAAACAUUUAAUAGCCUAUAUGUAAUCAAUAAAUGGCCUUUGCCUAUCUUAAGAAAAACUCACUCAGAAAUCUGAUAUGUUAACAGUACUAAAUAAAUCAAUAAAUACAUGCAUACACACAAAAAUAAGUUAAUACAUUAACUGUGUUAAGAUAAGAUUUAGAUUUUUUUAAAAAAGUUGUUUAUGUUUUUGCACAAUCCAGUAUUGCUCACUGGUUGGUCAUUACAUUUUGUUUAGUUUGAUUUCACUGUUUAAAAUGAUGCCACCUCUUUUCAGACAGAACCUGUGAUAAUAAAACAAUACAAAAUUUUUAGUUCCGUGUUAAUAAAGCACUUAAAGCUUUAAGUAUGGCUAAAUGCUUUUUUCAGAAUUAAAUAUAUCACUCCUUAGGUGGUAGUGGCCCCAAGUUCAGUAAAGUUGGAAAGAUAUUCACAGAUUCAGACUUCCAGCAUCAAUAACUCAUUAGAUAUAGGUUGUCAAAACAUAAACGGUGCCUCUUUCCCAUUGUUGCAAGGCAGACAAUGUGCUACAAGCCCAGUUUUAUCAAAAGUAGCUGUCUUUCAAGCUACAGGAAUAACAUUGGUGUCUAUGGAGUGAACAGGGUCCGUCUGCAAUUUGCAAAACCGCUGCAACAGUAAAGAGAGACAAAUAUUCAAUAACUUCACUCUUAUACAUUGUAGUGUCACUAAAAUCACUGCAGCCUUCAACUGGCUCCUGUUGACAAAGUGUUUUAACAGAAAUGUAAAUGCUGUAAUUUGAUUCUUUUAAUGAACCAUGUAACUUGAAUGGAUGUGAUGCUGGUGUGACCACAGUGCACACGUCUGAUGUUGCUCACAGUGGUCCAAGGGACGCUCAGGGAGUUUGUGUGUUUGCUCAGACUCAGGAAAAAUUACAGGGAACAUUGGUCCUCGCCUUACUAUGUGAAGUGUCUAGAGAUGAUACAUGUUGUGAAUUAGUGCUAUAUAAAUACAACUCAAUUGAAAUUAAAUUAAAGUGUAUCGUUUCUAUAUUUUAGAUUAUCCUUGAUGGCAUAAAAAAGGGUGGAAAAGGUACAUACUACAUACUAUUGUUUUAACCAGACGGAUGAACAAUUUGUUCUCACAGGCCAUCGCUCUAAUAAACAAUUAAAUCUAUAAUGACAGAAACAACUAUUUUUGUAUGAUUAACAACUCAUAACCACUGUAAAUACUGUAUAUUACAUAACUGUUAAUAUUUCAUUCUACAAACAUCGCUCUCUGCUCCAUUGCACUAUUGCAUUGAAAGUGUCAGUAAUCCUGCAUUUAUUGUUAACCUUAUCUAUUCCUAUCAUCAAAAUCUGCACAAUUUACACUAAAUGUUUGGUUCAGUGUAAACAUGUUCUUUUACACAUAUCUUUGGCUGUGAUAUUAAUCGAUAAACACUUACGUUCCUUUCUUUAAUCUGUGGGCCUGGUUUAAAUUCAUGUGUGCUUUUUGGUGUGAAUACUUUGACAGCAAAGAAAACAUUUUUUAUUCAUUGUACGUGUGCAUGUACUUGGCCAAUAAAGAACACCUGCCAUUG
ensembl:lncRNA